ensembl:rRNA 5S_rRNA 5S ribosomal RNA
GCUUACGGCCAUACCAGCCGAGGAACGCCCGGUCUCGUCUGAUCUCGGAAGCUAAGAAGGCUUGGGCCUGGUUAGUACUUGGAUGGGAGACCUCCUGGGAAUACCAGGUGCUGUAAGCU